rnacentral:ribozyme from 1 species
GCAGGGGGCAGAGAACAUGUGGCGAGGUCGCUGGAGUGACGACGUGUUCGGCUGUUUCUCCGACUUGCCCAG